AACGAACGCUGGCGGUAUGCCUAACACAUGCAAGUCGAACGCCCGUAGCAAUACGGGAGUGGCAGACGGGUGCAUAACACGUGGGAACCUACCCUAGGGUUCGGAAUAACCGCGGGAAACUGCGGCUAAUACCGGAUACGUCCUCUGGGAGAAAGAUUUAUCGCCCUUGGAGGGGCCCGCGUCGGAUUAGCUAGUUGGUGAGGUAACGGCUCACCAAGGCGACGAUCCGUAGCUGAUCUGAGAGGAUGAUCAGCCACACUGGAACUGAGACACGGUCCAGACUCCUACGGGAGGCAGCAGUGGGGAAUAUUGGACAAUGGGCGCAAGCCUGAUCCAGCAAUGCCGCGUGGGUGAUGAAGGCCUUCGGGUUGUAAAGCCCUUUUGGCAGGGACGAUGAUGACGGUACCUGCAGAAUAAGCCCCGGCUAACUUCGUGCCAGCCGCCGCCGUAA
rnacentral:rRNA from 1 species